rnacentral:lncRNA from 1 species
CCUUGUCCAUUGACCCAGUCUGAGAGCAGAUGGGAGCUUAUCCACAUCUUACCUGGCAAGACGCCUCCUGAGACAGUCAGGGUCACCAGAAAUCAUGGAGCCCAGGGCAGCUGUGGCAAAGGGUCUGACCCUCUAUCCCACAGCAUGUAAAUGAAGGAAAGGAAGCAGAGCGCUCACCCGUGGGCAGCAGCUGCCCCGUGGUCCUGGCUCACCUUCCCAUUGCUUCUUCUCAGCAUCAAGCCCAGAAUGUGUCAGGCCCUGUCCUGCAUACCUAGACUGCAUCCGUGUAGCACAUCAGCUCUCUCCACCGUAGAAGCUGUCUUAAAUACAGGACCAAAAGUGGAAAGACGAGCCAUGGUCCUGCUGGGUGUGUUGGUGCCCACACUGUAACUCCAGUGCUUAAGACACAGGUAGGAGGGCAGCCCCCAGUUCAUGCCAGUCUGGCUUACACAAGGAGGUCCAGGCCAGCCAGGACAACACAGUGACCCUGCCCCAAAACCGCUAAAAUAACCCUCGGUUGUUUCCUUCAGGUCUUUGCUGGAUAGAGGGGCAUUCACGUUCAUCUGCUUCUUAUGCCUGAAGACGCCUCCCCGUGUUAAGUAGCAGGAGGGAUCAUGUCCAUAGUGUACUGCACUCCAUAGUGUGCUGCACUCACUGUUAGCCUGCUGCAGCCGGCCUGGGGGUAGCGCACACUCAGCAUAGGCAUCAAGCAAGACUCUAGGUUUGCUCUGUAGAAUCACAGUACACACACCGGUGCCGCAGUGGGUACCGGCAGUCCAGAGGCCUUUGUCCUGACUCACGCAUGAACAAGUGCUUAUUGGAAGAGAAGCACACAGAAGCCUUAGGGAGCUCUGCUGGAAGUUGGGCCCAGGUGUGAUGGUGCACACCUUUAACCCCAGCUCUCAGAAGCAUGGGGCAGGCCGAGCUCUGUGAGCUCUGGGACCAACCUGGUACACAGGACAGCCUACUCAGGGAGACCGUCUCAAAAUCAAAAUGGAAGUUGGGCCAGCUUAUGCUUAUGAUGUGAGAAUGUUGUGUCACUCCAUCGUGACUUCUACUUAUUUGUCUGUCUUGUUCAGGCCGACUUUAAGAUUUCUGAUGACUGCGUCGCACAGUGGAAGCAAACCAACUUCAUGACCAAGCUGGGCUUUGUCUCCUGUAAAUCACUAAAAGGGGGCAACAUCAGCUAGCCGCUCGGCUGCUCCCACCAUCCUGUCUGCCGGUCGUUCCACCUCUCACCCGCUCCCAUCUCAGGACACUGAAGCACCGGUCUGGACUGCUGACUAGACGCAGGACUUGGAAAGGGACAGCUCACCUUCCUACCAUGUGGGCUCAUCCCGCCUGGCUGAAAGGAGACGGAGUGCCUGGGCUAAGGAUCUUGCCUUGCAGCAAACAGCUCUACCUUCUUCCCUUGGCAGCUGACUUGAGAAAUCUGGUUUCAAUAGAACCCACAGAAAAAGUUUAUUCCUCGGUCCUUGUAAUUGGAAAAACACUGGUUCCCAAGAUUCCAUGGGGUUUUCCCUGCAGCUGUACCUCUAGCUGAGAUCUGUUGCCUGGUCUGGGCUAAUUACAGCUUCUCCCCGUCAGGAAAUUGUGGGAUUUGAAAAGAAGGGAAAACAGCCUAGAGGUCUCCCAAGCUUCCCAAGGCUGGCAGUGUUCUCCAGGAUUGCCUGCCCUGAGGCUUGGCACCAGAGGCAGGAUUUGCCCCUGCUCUCUUGGGGUUCCCUUGAUCUGGCUAAGUUGGGCACUCCCUAAGCAAACCAGCUGUGUUAGCAGCAGUGUGGGAACGGACUGACACAGUGUGGUGCUUUAUUCAGAAUGCGACUACUCCAUAAGGCAUCUCAAUCAAAUCUCUCACCACCACUGUCAAAUCCAAAUAAAGUGUGUGAACAAGGC